rnacentral:rRNA from 1 species
AACGAACGCUGGCGGCAUGCCUAACACAUGCAAGUCGAACUAUCCCUUCGGGGAUAGUGGCGCACGGGUGCGUAACGCGUGGGAACCUGCCCUUAGGUUCGGAAUAACUCAGAGAAAUUUGAGCUAAUACCGGAUAAUGUCUUCGGACCAAAGAUUUAUCGCCUUUGGAUGGGCCCGCGUUGGAUUAGCUAGUUGGUGGGGUAAAGGCCUACCAAGGCGACGAUCCAUAGCUGGUCUGAGAGGAUGAUCAGCCACACUGGGACUGAGACACGGCCCAGACUCCUACGGGAGGCAGCAGUGGGGAAUAUUGGACAAUGGGCGAAAGCCUGAUCCAGCAAUGCCGCGUGAGUGAUGAAGGCCUUAGGGUUGUAAAGCUCUUUUACCCGGGAUGAUAAUGACAGUACCGGGAGAAUAAGCCCCGGCUAACUCCGUG